CGGAGAUGGAUUCUGAGACACGAAUCCAGACCCUACGGGGUGCAGCAGGCGCGAAAACUUGGCAAUGCGAGCAAUCGUGACCAGGGAACUCCAAGUGGCUGGGGUAAUACCCAGUUUUUUCUUGACUCUUCAAAGGUCUUGGAAUAAGGGGUGGGUAAGGACGGUGCCAGCCGCCGCGGUAAUACCGGCGCCUCAAGUGGUAGUCGCUUUUAUUGGGCCUAAAACGUCCGUAGCCGGUCUGGUGCAUUCGUGGGUAAAUCAACCCGCUCAACGGGUUGAAUUCUGCGAGCACGGCCAGACUUGGGACCGGGAGAGGUGUGGGGUACUCUCAGGGUAGGGGUAAAAUCCUGUCAUCCUGAGAGGACCACCUGUUGCGAAGGCGCCACACUAGAACGGAUUCGACGGUCAGGGACGAAACCUAGGGGCACGAACCGGAUUAGAUACCCGGGUAGUCCUAGGUGUAAACGCUGUGGACUUGAUGUUGGGGGUGCUCCGAGCACUCUCAGUGUCGAAGCGAAGGUGAUAAGUCCACUGCCUGGGGAGUACGGUCGCAAGGCUGAAACUUAAAGGAAUUGGCGGGGGAGCACUGCAACCUGAGGAUUGUGCGGUUUAAUUGGACUCAACGCCGGGA
rnacentral:rRNA from 1 species